UAAUACAUGUGGGGCAAGCGUUGUUCGGAAUUACUGGGCAUAAAGGGUGCGUAGGUGGUCUGCUAAGUCAGUGGUGAAAUCCCGCGGCCCAACCGUGGAACUGCCAUCGAUACUGGCGGACUUGAGUGCGUGAGGGGUUACCGGAACGAGCAGUGUAGCGGUGAAAUGCGUAGAUAUUGCUCGGAAGGCCAGAGGCGAAGGCGGGUAACUGGCACGCAACUGACACUGAGGCACGAAAGCGUGGGGAGCAAACAGGAUUAGAUACCCUGGUAGUCCACGCCGUAAACUAUGGGCACUAGAUGGAUGUCGAGCUAUCGAUGUCUGUCGGAGGCAAUUUGGUAAGUGCCCCGCCUGGGGAGUAUGGUCGCAAGGCUG
rnacentral:rRNA from 1 species